rnacentral:rRNA from 1 species
GAUAGGUCAGAGGUGUAAGUAUGGCAACAUAUUUAGCUGACUGAUACUAAUAGGUCGAGGGCUUGACCAAUAA